AGGAUCUGCGUCUGGAUAACCAUACCAUGGAGGGAGGAGACCCACGCCAUGGAGCUGCUCGUCAAGGAGAGGCCCGACCCAUUCCUUUCCCUUUCCUAGUGAGUGCUCGUCAAGGUCUUUGAUUUCCUUUCCUGAUGCGAGUUCAUUUGAUAUGUUAUUCUUCCUCUUCCUCAUGCAGGUGCACACACAUGUGGGUCAACAAGGGGCAAGACCGACAGACCAGCAGCACCAUGCACACAUUCAAGACUAGUAGCUGUCGAUGCCUUGGAAGAUGUACAUGCAGAUGUGGAAUAGCACCACCCUAGUAUGGUUGUAACUCCAGCGACUCAGCGGGAUAUACGAUGCUGUUUCACUCCCCCAUCAUGUGAUUGGCAGCUCACUGGAGCCAUCUAACUUCUUGUAAGAUGAUGAAGGUUUUAUGUAAGGAAGCUACCUUUUUGUUAUACAGCUAGCGAACCCAUGGAUGAUUUCCUUCUUCACUUUCACAAACUAUUUUCUACUCAAAAGCAGAAUGUUGCUUUGCUUCAUGACAAGUACUAGAGUUCAUGCUCGAGAAGAAGAGGCAAGCCUGAGUUGAUGCGAGAGGAGCUUGUGGAGGCCAAGGAGAAAUACGCAGAGUAUCAGUUGUUACUUAAAAGAGUUGGUGCCAUGUUAUGUUACUAUUCUAUAAUUAUAAUAAGUUACUUGUGGAUAAUGUGGACAAGGUCCAUUUUAUGAACAUGGUGUAAUGGUACAAAGUAACUAGUUGUUUUUUCUGGUUGGCACAUCUUA